rnacentral:misc_RNA from 1 species
AACCAUAGAAACCUGCGGAGUACCUGCGGAAGGAUCAUUACCGAGUUUACAACUCCCAAACCCCUGUGGACAUACCAAUUGUUGCCUCGGCGGAUCAGCCCGCUCCCGGUAAAACGGGACGGCCCGCCAGAGGACCCCUAAACUCUGUUUCUAUAUGUAACUUCUGAGUAAAACCAUAAAUAAAUCAAAACUUUCAACAACGGAUCU